GAUGAACGCUGGCGGCGUGCCUAAUACAUGCAAGUCGAGCGAACAGACGAGGAGCUUGCUCCUCUGACGUUAGCGGCGGACGGGUGAGUAACACGUGGAUAACCUACCUAUAAGACUGGGAUAACUUCGGGAAACCGGAGCUAAUACCGGAUAAUAUAUUGAACCGCAUGGUUCAAUAGUGAAAGACGGUUUUGCUGUCACUUAUAGAUGGAUCCGCGCCGCAUUAGCUAGUUGGUAAGGUAACGGCUUACCAAGGCAACGAUGCGUAGCCGACCUGAGAGGGUGAUCGGCCACACUGGAACUGAGACACGGUCCAGACGCCUACGGGAGGCAGCAGUAGGGAAUCUUCCGCAAUGGGCGAAAGCCUGACGGAGCAACGCCGCGUGAGUGAUGAAGGUCUUCGGAUCGUAAAACUCUGUUAUUAGGGAAGAACAACUGUGUAAGUAACUAUGCACGUCUUGACGGUACCUAAUCAGAAAGCCACGGCUAACUACGUG
rnacentral:rRNA from 1 species